rnacentral:rRNA from 1 species
GCCAGCAGCCGCGGUAAUACCAGCUCCAAUAGCGUAUAUUAAAGUUGUUGCAGUUUAAAAGCUCGUAGUUGGACUUGUGUGCGUUUACAUUUAGCGGUCUGCAUUCAAAAGGAUGUUACGACUGCGAUGUGGGCGCCGUAAAUCUUCAACUGGAUCGUGUCUGGACUUAAUUGUUCGGGCGCUGUUAUUCGGUUGAUCAUUUACUGUGAGAAAAUUAGAGUGUUCAAGGCAGGCGUUUGUAAUUGAAUAUGUUAGCAUGGAAUAAUGAGAUAUGGCUCCCGGUCUUGUUGGUUUUGUGAUGUGGAAGUAAUGAUUGAUAGGGACGGUUGGGGGUGCUAGUAAUCAGCGGCCAGAGGUGAAGUUCAUGGAUUCGCUGAGGACUGACUACUGCGAAAGCAUUCACCAAGGACGUCCUCUUUAAUCAAGAACGAAAGUUGGGGGAUCGAAGACGAUCAGAUACCGUCGUAGUCUCAACCAUAAACUAUGUCGACUAGCGAUUGGCAGUUGUUUUUCGUAGACAUUGUCAGGAGCCUGAGAGAAAUCAAAGUGUUUGGACUCUUGGGGAAGUAUGGUCGCAAGACUGAAACUUAAAGGAAUUGACGGAAGGGCACCACCAGGAGUGGAGCCUGCGGCUUAAUUUGACUCAACACGGGAAAUCUUACCAGGUCCAGAGAUGUAGAGGAUUGACAGAUUGAAGCUCUUUCUUGAUCACUUCGGUGGUGGUGCAUGGCCGUUCUUAGUUGGUGGAGUGAUUUGUCUGGUUAAUUCCGUU